rnacentral:lncRNA from 1 species
GUUCUGCAGAAUUAUGCAGAAUGCUGAAGAGCGCGUUGUUGACCGCUCGGUCUUAUUCAGGUGCUCGGUUAUAACUAGGUUUGGUCUCUGUAUAGUAUUACCAUUCAUAACCGUUCGGUCUUAGUUGAUAUGUGGUCUCUUAGUCGCGUUUGGUCUUGUACUAGCAUUUGGUCUAAUACUGGUACUCGAUCUUGUACUAGUGCUCGAUUAUAUACUAGUGCUCGGUCAUGUACUAGUGUUCGGUCUUGUACUAGUGCUCGGUCUUCUUUCAAUAGGACUUGGUCUACAACGUUAGUGGUUGGUCCUUAAUAGUGUUGGGCUAUCUCCUCAGUCGAACCUAUCAUUUACCGUUUGGCCUAUCUCUUGGGUGGUGAGGUUAUGUUCGGUCUCCAACGUUCACAGGGUACUGGGUUUGAUACAUUGUUUUCAUUGCUGUUUGAGGAUUGUUAAGUUAUUUAUAUAGAUCUGUUGCACAUGAACAAUUAUGUUGAUAUUUAAUUAAGUUAUGAAGUUACAAUUGGUAUGGAAGAGAAUUCCAAGGAGGAAUAUCUUGGGAUUGGUUAUCAAGGUGGUUGAUGAGUCUAUAUUUUCUUGACUUCACUUAGUUUAUUGUGCUAGAAUUAAUCAGGGAAUUGUGCUUAAUUGUCCGGUAUUUUCCCGUUUUCGCUAAUAGUGCUUAAUUUGGCCAGAAAUUCUAAUUUUAAUUAAUUUGAAUAUUUUGAGCUAAUUAUUUGCAUUAUUAUUUUCAGGGAAAAAUUUGGAAAUUCAAUUUGGGAUAUUUGGAGUGCUAUCAAAUAAGUCAAGACUCUUCGCAUGGACAUUUCAAAUUUAAUUACUUUGAAACUUAGUAGUCUAGAUAGUUUUAAUUAAAUUUGUAAACAAUGGGCCAA